GGAGAGAUGGCUGAGCGGUUGAAAGCGCACGCUUGGAAAGCGUGUGGGCGACGUAAGUCGCCUCGGGGGUUCGAAUCCCCCUCUCUCCGCCA
rnacentral:tRNA from 1 species